rnacentral:rRNA from 1 species
GCGGCGGACGGGUGAGUAACACGUGGGUAACCUGCCUGUAAGACUGGGAUAACUCCGGGAAACCGGGGCUAAUACCGGAUGCUUGAUUGAACCGCAUGGUUCAAUUAUAAAAGGUGGCUUUUAGCUACCACUUACAGAUGGACCCGCGGCGCAUUAGCUAGUUGGUGAGGUAACGGCUCACCAAGGCAACAAUGCGUAGCCAACCUGAGAGGGUGAUCGGCCACACUGGGACUGAAACACGGCCCAAACUCCUACGGGAGGCAGCAGUAGGGAAUCUUCCGCAAUGGACAAAAGUCUGACGGAGCAACGCCGCGUGAGUGAUGAAGGUUUUCGGAUCGUAAAACUCUGUUGUUAGGGAAGAACAAGUACCGUUCGAAUAGGGCGGUACCUUGACGGUACCUAACCAAAAAGCCACGGCUAACUACGUGCCAGCAGCCGCGGUAAUACGUAGGUGGCAAGCGUUGUCCGGAAUUAUUGGGCGUAAAGCGCGCGCAGGCGGUUUCUUAAGUCUGAUGUGAAAGCCCCCGGCUCAACCGGGGAGGGUCAUUGGAAACUGGGGAACUUGAGUGCAAAAAA